rnacentral:rRNA from 1 species
UACGUAGGGGGCUAGCGUUGUCCGGAAUCAUUGGGCGUAAAGAGCGUGUAGGCGGCCCGAUAAGUCCGCUGUGAAAGUCCAGGGCUCAACCCUGGAAUGCCAGUGGAAACUGUCGGGCUGGAGUCCGGAAGAGGCGAGUGGAAUUCCUGGUGUAGCGGUGAAAUGCGCAGAUAUCAGGAGGAACACCAAUGGCGAAGGCAGCUCGCUGGGACGGUACUGACGCUGAGACGCGAAAGCGUGGGGAGCAAACAGG